GAUGAACGCUGGCGGUAGGCUUAACACAUGCAAGUCGAGCGGAGAUGAGGUGCUUGCACCUUAUCUUAGCGGCGGACGGGUGAGUAAUGCUUAGGAAUCUGCCUAUUAGUGGGGGACAACAUUCCGAAAGGAAUGCUAAUACCGCAUACGUCCUACGGGAGAAAGCAGGGGAUCUUCGGACCUUGCGCUAAUAGAUGAGCCUAAGUCGGAUUAGCUAGUUGGUGGGGUAAAGGCCUACCAAGGCGACGAUCUGUAGCGGGUCUGAGAGGAUGAUCCGCCCCACUGGGACUGAGACACGGCCCAGACUCCUACGGGAGGCAGCAGUGGGGAAUAUUGGACAAUGGGGGGAACCCUGAUCCAGCCAUGCCGCGUGUGUGAAGAAGGCCUUAUGGUUGUAAAGCACUUUAAGCGAGGAGGAGGCUACUGAGACUAAUACUCUUGGAUAGUGGACGUUACUCGCAGAAUAAGCACCGGCUAACUCUGUGCCAGCCGCCGCCGUAACAC
rnacentral:rRNA from 1 species